rnacentral:lncRNA from 1 species
UGGAGAUCUCACUCGUUGUUAACUUGAUUGAUUACCACUGGUGCAUCGCCAUAGACCAACAAUUGCUUGAUUCCUAGCAACACUGCCAGGCGGAGCCCGUGCAGAAGCGCUUUGUAUUUAGCUUUGUUGUUGGACACUUCCUAGAAGAUUGCAGGAUGUAUUUGAGUUGUUCGCUUUUGGAGGAUAUCAAGAGUACACAUGCACCAGCGCCUUCAAGCUGGAGGGACCCAUCGAAGUAUAUGACCCAAUGCUCUGGACACUCGACUGAUGUUGGUAGUUUAUUUUCCCACCACUCUGCCAUAAAAUUGACUAGGGCUUGGGAUUUGAUUGCAGUCCUUAGCUUGAAUUCCAGGAACAAUGCUCCGAGUUCUAC